UUGCCAGUGCUUUUUGUCUCUUUUACCAAGACUCGAACAAAGGGUUGGGGUGUGGCAGGAUCUGGCGGCCCACAGCAACACUGAAAUGAUGAGGAAAAUGGGACAUUAAAGAUGCCAAAAUGUCCGACAAACCUGACAUGACUGAGAUCGCCCGCUUCGACAAGACAAAGCUGAAGAAGACGGAGACAAAAGAAAAAAACCCUCUGCCCACCAAAGAGACCAUUGAGCAGGAGAGGAAAGGCGAUGCCACACCUUGACUUGAGCACAAGAAGAGAAGCUGAGAUGCCACAGAAAAAAAAGCACUUUCUUUCAAUUACCACAAUAUUUUGGAUCUGUUUCAUUGUCUUCAGAUUAGGGUGCUAUAAGGGUACUUCUGCAUCCUCACAUGGGGGCUUUCUUGCCAUUCUGAAAACUUGAGCCUGGGUGCCUGUCUUGUCCUGUUAGCUGUAAGCUAGCAUGUGUCCAGUAUUGCCAAACUAGGGAGGGGUGUGACGUAGAAAUAUGAGGGAGGGAGGCAGUUAUGCAGGCUAGUGGGGGGGGGGGGGUUGGCUGUCCACAGACAUGGGAGUAAGUCAACACAUGGGAUGAUUUCUUAUUAACUUUUUACUUUUCUUUUUGGAAUAAAUAUGAAGACAUGGAAACGGUUUGCUGUCUCCUUCAUGAUGUUGCAGUUCAGCUGCUGACACAUUUUUCACAGUCUUUGCUUUCCAAACAACUCCUAUGGACAAUGUGUGAACCAAAUGUCCCAAACACCAUAAAUGCACACGAACUCUGAAUUUUAAAUACUAAUCCACACAUCAAACUUACAUUUGACAGAUAGUUACAUACCAGGCAAUUCUUUAAAUGUGUAUGUUUUCCUCCAAGAAGCUAAAGUUCCUUCUGGUUUAUUACAAUCCUCAAAAGAUUAACUCGCCCAGGCUCUUCAGAAUAUUUACGUUUAGUCAGUUCUUGUAUCCGACCAUGUUUAGAGAAUACCCAUAUGUUUGCUUUAUAGUCACCUGCCUGUUUCUGACCUGACUUCUAAGAUUCAAACUGUGUUUGUCAUUUUAGUCACUUUUGUAGUGAGGCGGUCCUGCUUCUCCCUUUUAGCUUGUUUCUGUUCACCCAGGAUCUUCCUGAAUUUAAUCAUCCCAGCUGUUUCUGAUUUAGAUAAUUGCAGAGUUACACAAACCUGGUCUCUGUACUCACAUUUUGGGGUUUUAGACACUUGUUCUUCAACAUGCUAUAGUAACAAAGCUGCUUAUACAGUUUUAAUUUGGUUUUCUGAAUUAAAAAAGGUGUUGAGGGAAAAUGUGGAACAAAGAGAGAGAAAGAGUCAGGAGUUACAAAAAAAAACAACAAAGAAAAAAACAUCCUGAACCACACUCUAGACCAGGUGGUGGCAAUAAUGUACCACAAAGCUGUUUGUCAAGCAUAAAAAAACCCACAGAAGAAGACCCUUAUUCUUGCUCAACACUUUAUUUUGGACCUCAAUGUACAUGCCUUAGAAUAUCUUUUUGAAAAAAUACUUUUUGUUUGUGAUUUUUUGAAUAUUGUUAUGAGAAAUAUUUGUCGGCAUACAUCCCAUAUCCCACAACUUUUAAAGCUGCACAGGCGAAAAAGCGUAAUUAAAUCCCAAGAUAUAUGACAUCAACAUAUUUUUAAAUGUAUAUCAGUGAGAGCACAAACGCACACCUAAUGAAGGUUUAGGUCACAGGUGUCAAACUUCUUAGUGGCAAAACACACCGGGUUUACAUGGCUUUAGACACGGUGUAUUCUAGUAGAUCCAGGUUGGUGACAGUUAAUCACAACAAGCAGAAACUGAUUUUCUUGUACAUGUAAAAAAUAUAUAUAUUAUACAUCGUUAAAAAAUAAUUAAAAAAACAAGCACGCAUUACUCUGUAUCCAAUGGCACUUGUCAAGUCUGAUAAAACUAAGUCAUUUUGCACAUCUGUCAGUCAAACCCACUUCCUUGAGAAAAUCCAAUGUUGACAUUAUUUAAUUUUGUUUUCAAUGUUUGUUUGAUUUUUACUGAUAUAUAAAAUAAGCUCCUAUAAACCCGGGUGGCAUCCCAUGGUGCAUCAGGAACCUUUCUCCAAAAUGUGUGAUUGUCUGAUAACAAUAAAAAAAUUAAGACUAAGAAAACAGUUUUAAUAUUUAAAGUUGUAUCUCAUGAUUGUCAUAGCUCUUUAUAUUUUUAUCUGUAUCAUUCUUUUUUUUUUUGUCCCAGAAGAAUCCUCUAGCUUACUGUUGAUAUGAGUAAGAGUACACUGUAAACCCGAAUAGUCCAAUGAGCUCAAAAGUUUUAUAAUCACUGAAAUCAAAAGUAACAAACAAGUUGAGUCAGCUUAAAACCUAUAAGCCGAUUCAACUUUUGCCACAGUUAUAUCUUUAUUGGACUGAAACAUUUUGAGUAAAUGAAACCGAGUCAAAACUUAUGAGUAAUGAGACGUGAUGACGUCAUAACGUACGCCCAUGAACCUGAACUCAGCCACAGAAGUCUUCAAGAUGGCGGAGGUCUGAUGCGAGUGUCAACUGGCCCAAGUUGAUAACGCACAUACGUCUAGUAUAUCCUUUGUAUUCAUGACGUGCUCCACGAGUUUUGAACCGGCGGUGCGUUUGAAAAAUAAGAGCGGAGAUGUGAGCUGAGUUUCAUCGCAUCACAAAUG